ensembl:lncRNA
GUAUAAUUCAGUGCGAGGAAAUCUGCAGUUGGGACAUGUGCAAAGCUGAGCCUCGGCUAGGGAGGCAGGACAUAAACAUCACACAGCUCUCAAAGGCCAUUUGCUAUGGCUGUGAAGAGCAGAGGCACAGUGGAUGACAUGUCAAAGGCAUGGAGGCCUAGCGACCUGAGAGAGGUUUUGGUUUGUUUGUUUUUCAAGGAAUGUUAACUACUUAAUACUGGAUUGGAAGUACGGGGAAUUCUUUUUUAACUGGAGCAAUAUGGAAAAGAUUCUUGUGAGGGAAGAAGAAUGAAGGCCUAAACUAAGAAUGAAGCAGGAGUGAAGCAGGGACAAAUGCAAGAGUUUUUUAGAAGGCAGAUUCAAAAAGACUUGAUAACUCUCUCAGUGUGAGGACAAAAAAGAAUAAAAUAUGAUUCCGAGGUUUCUAUUAAAUAUCUUCAGUGGCAGGGUACAUGGUAAUGCCAUUAAUGAAAGUCGAGAAUGUGACAGGAGCAGCCAGUUCUUGAGAGAAAGCUGAAGCUUUCUUCUGGACACUCUUGAGCUUAACCAGGGGAAAAAAUAGCACCAACCGAGCGCUGGGAUCGAGACCCUGGAACUAAAGUCAACCUCAGAGAGGAGUACCCUAGGAGGGAAUGGUCAAGAGGACAGGUUAUUAAUAGGUCGAGCAGAGUGAGGGCUGGUAAGAAGACACUAGAUUUGACAAGGGAAGGUGUCUGGUUACUUCCCAGAAUAUCCUAAGAAAAUAGGAGGAGAAAAGAGAAAGCCUGACAAGCUAAAGAAUGACUGGGAAGUGAGGAAACGGGCUGAACGCACUUCAUACAGCUGGACGUGCUGGACGUGAAGGGAGGGAGCAUGACAGCAGUGGGAAAAGGGUUUAUUCUUGCUCUUUUAGGCGAGAGAAAACAUUUACUGUGUUGAUACAAGAAAAGCACUAAAUGUUACAUGAGGAUACAGACACAAGAUGGGAGAGAAAAGGAGGGAUCUGCUAUAUAAGAAGAGCUAACAAAGCAAGAGGUCCUUUUUUCCUCAAAACUGAAAGUGGGGUGAUAGAAGAACAGACGAAAGUAUAACCACAUUUAGAGAAAAGAAGCUGCCAGUUUUUUUAAAUUAUAAAAUAAAAUUUAUGAUCAAUAAAUAGCACCUGGAAAAUAAAAAAACCUUUGGAAAUACUCUGAAUACAAACAUAGCAGGACCUUACUUCCGCUUAGACAAGAAAAAACCUGCAGAACAAGUUGGUUGUUUAGUUUAAAAUAUCCAUUUAGCUAUCCUAACAGUGUUUAAGCCGCUAAGUGCAAGUUAAUACAAAAUUAUAGGAUUCUGUAUUAAAAAAAAGUUCAUCAUCUCUAAGCUACUGUCUGGAGAUAUCCUGGGUUCAUAUUUUGAACAGGAAAGAAAUUAUGCCUUCAGGUUUUUUCUGGUACGUUCUACUAAAGUAUAUUAUAUGCUUAUGAUUUUUACAGUUGUAUAAUAAAAGUAUGUCAUUCUGAAAUCAUAACUCAGAAAUAUUAGUGAGUUAGGUAUCUUUAUUGUUUCUCAAACUAUACUGACCCACACUCUUAUCUUGCUCUCCCUUCUCAUUUCCUAGUAUCACUCAACUCAGAAUUUUAAUUUUUAUGACAUUCGCACAUUCCUCAUUUUGACAAAAUUGACUAGUUUUUAAUCCUUCCAGUAAAUUUAUGGUUUGGUUGGAUACUGUGCUAUGCUUAGUCAUUCAGUUAUGUCCUACUUUUUCCGACCCCAUGGACUGUAGCCCACCAGGCUCCUCUGUCCAUGGGGAUUCUCCAGGCAAGAAUACUGGAGUGGGUUGCCAUGCACUUCUCCAGGGGAUCUUCCCGAUCCAGGAAUCAAACCAGGGUCUCCUGCAUUGCAUGCAGAUUCUUUACCAGCUGAGCUACCAGGGAAGCCCCUAUGUAAGUGAAAAGACAUUGUUUGUAGCUAGGAAUAUGCUCAACAAUUGUAGGGUCUAGUUGUAAAAUAAACUAGGUCUUUAGUAAAUUACUUAGCAUCACAAUUAAGAUUACUGUCCAAAUUCUACAGUCAUUUUGUCACUGGAAUUACUUUGCUUGCAAACAGUUUUGAAAGCAAAGUAGUUAUUAAUCAUCAACCUGAAUGAUUCUGAUAUACAUGAUUCUGAUAUAAUAAACUGAAUGUCACAUGAAACAGACUGAAACGUCACAUGAACUAUAAAAACCAUCAACAUUUAAUAAUUAAAGCUAUUCUUUCUUUCAAAAACCAAAGUUCUAUUAGUAAUACUUUGAAUGCUCAAUACUUACUAAGUGUUUAAUAUGAAGCAGACACAGUUCUACAAAUGCAGGAUUCAACAAAAACACAAAACUUUGCCCUCACAAAGCUUAUAUUCUAGUAUAGGGAAACAAAUAAAAGUCAGAUCAUGUUAAGUGUUACGGACAAAUUUAAAGGAGGGGAGACGUGGAGUACCAAUGUAUAUACAGUCAAGGAAGGCCUUGAUCAAGUAACAGCUGAGUGAGGCUGAAGGGUGCAAGGUGUGAGCUACAUAUACAGCUGAGAAAAACAUUAAAGGGCCUGAGGCAGGAAUGUACUUAGGUUUUUUGGUCAAAAUUCAUUUGUAUUAUAGAAAAUACACUUAAUUCCAGUUGUUAUACUUAAGUGAAAGUGAAAGGCACUCAGUUAUGGCCAACUCUUUGUGACCCCAUGGACUAUACUAUAAAGAAUUCUCUAGGCCAGAAUACUGGAGUGGGCAGCCGUUCCCUUCUCCAGGGGAUCUUCCCAACCCAGGGAUUGAACCCAGGUCUCCUGCAUUGCAGGCAGAUUCUUUACCAACUGAGCUACCAGGGAAGCCCAUUGUUACAAUUGAAGUUUCUAAUAAAAAAAAAAAUCACCACUUAAUAAUCCUGUUUUAACUAAGACAAUGAAACUAUGGCUUUAAAAAAAAGUACUCAGCACCAUUUACUCAUUUAGUUUCAUGAGCUGCUUAUA